rnacentral:lncRNA from 1 species
AUACCUGCCCUGCAAUCAAAAAUAUCAAACUGGGGAGUGAGUAUAUGAAUACUCAGUGAGUGGAGUAGAGAGUACUAUGCAUAUGAGAUAGAAUAUAAUCAUGGCUAGAGGUGAAAUCUCAAAAGCAUAUGAAUGGUGAUCAAUAACAAGAUGAACAUGAGCUCAACAUAAAGAAUAUGGAGUAAAUCAUCAAUAUCACCAUAAUUAAUAUCAACUCAUCUGAAGCACAUAUGGAAUAAUCAAGUAAACAUAUAUGCUACUUAUGAACAUACUCAACAGAUCAUAAUGCUGGAACAUACAAAUCGGGUGUCAAU